rnacentral:rRNA from 1 species
UACGGGAGGCAGUAGUGGGGAAUAUUGCACAAUGGGCGAAAGCCUGAUGCAGCUAUGCCGCGUGUAUGAAGAAGGCCUUAGGGUUGUAAAGUACUUUCAUCGGGGAGGAAAAACAAAACUAAUAAUUUUAUUUCUUGACGUUACCCGAAAAAGAAGCACCGGCUAACUCCGUGCCAGCAGCCGCGGUAAUACGGAGGGUGCUAGCGUUAAUCAGAAUUACUGGGCGUAAAGAGCACGUAGGUGGUUUUUUUAAGUCAGAUGUGAAAUCCCUGGGCUUAACCUAGGAACUGCAUUUUGAAACUGAAAUACUAGAGUAUCGUAGAGGGAGGUAGAAUUCUAGGUGUAGCGGUGAAAUGCGUAGAUAUCUGGAGGAAUACCUGUGGCGAAAGCGGCCUCCUAAACGAAUACUGACACUGAGGUGCGAAAAGCGUGGGGAGCAAACAGGGAUUAGAUACC